AGGCAUGUAUUAAUUCACCAUAAAAAUGGUAUAAUUAAGAUGAUGAUAAGUUCUACCUAUUGUUUAUUUUUUUUUUUUUUAUCGAAAGUUGUUAAAGUUUUAAAUAUUGUAAACAUUGACUUAAAUAUCUAACUUUUUUAGACAAAAAAUACGUUAAUUUUUUUUACGAAAUAUAUUACUUUUCAAAACAAUUUUAAUAAAUAAAUUAAAUAAUUACAUUGUAUAACAUUUUUAAAUAUGUAACUUUCGAUAACAUAUUGUUACUUUUCAAAACAAUCAAUAAAUUAAGAUAAAUUUUAUAAGUAUGAUUCGUCCUAAACUCACUUUAUGUAUUCUACUGCUCUUCUUUAUAUUCAAAUUACGAAUUCAAAAUAGUAUCCUGUCUUAAUAAUAUUGUUUCUAGCAUGAUAUUAGAUAAAAUGGAUGCAUGCUUAAUAUAAACAAUUAUUGAUAUCAACUAUGCAUCUUUACCACUAUGGUUCCUUUAAUAGCUUUGUUCUUAUUCUUUUACCGAUGGUCCACAACAAUGAAGACUAUACUUAAUUUUCAUUGUACUUUUUGGUUUUUCAAAGAUUUGAUCUUCUCUUCACUUAUGUCAAUACAAAAUCAAUGUCAAUGUCAAAAUAUCAAAAAUUGGUUUAAUACCUACCAAUGUGUAUUCAUUUAUACUAACGGUGGAUAUUAUAUGUGAUGUUUAUGCACCAACUACUUGUUUAUAUUUAAUUUUGAUAACAUUCUUAACAUACAAAUUUUGAUAUUACACUUAUUUUGAAAAGGAGUACAUAAAAACAGG
rnacentral:lncRNA from 1 species